rnacentral:tRNA from 1 species
GGCGGCUUGCCGCAUCUGCGACCAAAUAAUAGAGCAACGGUUUUGUAAACCGUAGGUGGUCGGUUCGAGUCCGACAGCCGGCUCCA